rfam:Schistosoma rodhaini strain Burundi genome assembly, scaffold: SROB_scaffold0006128
AUCCAGACGACGAGUCACAAAUAGGAUGAAACACGCGUCCUGGAU